UACGAAGGGGGCUAGCGUUGCUCGGAAUCACUGGGCGUAAAGGGUGCGUAGGCGGGUUUUUAAGUCAGGGGUGAAAUCCUGGAGCUCAACUCCAGAACUGCCUUUGAUACUGAAGAUCUUGAGUCCGGGAGAGGUGAGUGGAACUGCGAGUGUAGAGGUGAAACUCGUAGAUAUUCGCAAGAACACCAGUGGCGAAGGCGGCUCACUGGCCCGGUACUGACGCUGAGGUGCGAAAGCGUGGGGAGCAAACAGG
rnacentral:rRNA from 1 species